GUAGAACGCAAUUUGUACAGAUACGGA
rnacentral:sRNA from 1 species